ACUCCUACGGGAGGCAGCAGUUAAGAAUAUUCCGCAAUGGACGAAAGUCUGACGGAGCGACGCCGCGUGGAUGAAGAAUGCCGAAAGGUUGUAAAAUCCUUUUAAGCCUGAGGAAUAAGCACAGUAGGGAAUGAUUGUGCGGUGACUGUAGGGCUUGAAUAAGCACCGGCAAAUUACGUGCCAGCAGCCGCGGUAACACGUAAGGUGCGAGCGUUGUUCGGAAUUAUUGGGCGUAAAGGGCAUGUAGGCGGAUGAGCAAGCUUGGUGUGAAAUGCUACAGCUUAACUGUGGGACAGCAUUGAGAACUGCACAUCUUGAAUUACUGAAGGGUAACUAGAAUUCCACGUGUAGGGGUGAAAUCUGUAGAUAUGUGGAAGAAUACCAAUGGCGAAGGCAAGUUACCGGCAGAUAAUUGACGCUGAGGUGCGAAAGUGCGGGGAGCGAACAGGAUUAGAUACCCUGGUAGUCCGCACAGUAAACGAUGUACACUAGGUGUCUGGCAACAAAGCUGGGUGCCAAAGCAAACGUGGUAAGUGUACCGCCUGGGGAGUAUGCCCGCAAGGGUGAAACUCAAAGGAAUUGACGGGGGCCCGCACAAG
rnacentral:rRNA from 1 species